GGGACCUUGGCGCAGUUGGUUAGCGCGCAGGUCUCAUAGCUUCCUGGCUAUGAUCUGGUGAGAACAUCGGAGUCAUCCUGAGGUCGUGAGUUCGAUCCUCACAGGUCCCA